AAACCAACAGGGAUUGCCUUAGUAGCGGCGAGUGAAGCGGCAAAAGCUCAAAUUUGAAAUCUGGCACUUUCAGUGUCCGAGUUGUAAUUUGAAGAAGGUAUCUUUGGGUCUGGCUCUUGUCUAUGUUUCUUGGAACAGAACGUCACAGAGGGUGAGAAUCCCGUGCGAUGAGAUGUCCCAGACCUAUGUAAAGUUCCUUCGAAGAGUCGAGUUGUUUGGGAAUGCAGCUCUAAGUGGGUGGUAAAUUCCAUCUAAAGCUAAAUAUUGGCGAGAGACCGAUAGCGAACAAGUACAGUGAUGGAAAGAUGAAAAGAACUUUGAAAAGAGAGUGAAAAAGUACGUGAAAUUGUUGAAAGGGAAGGGCUUGAGAUCAGACUUGGUAUUUUGUAUGUUACUCUCUCGGGGGUGGUCUCUACAGUUUACCGGGCCAGCAUCAGUUUGAGCGGUAGGAUAAGUGCAAAGAAAUGUGGCACUGCUUCGGUAGUGUGUUAUAGUCUUUGUCGAUAC
rnacentral:rRNA from 1 species